GCGAUGAUGAUGACGGUUGCA
rnacentral:siRNA from 1 species